rnacentral:rRNA from 1 species
CACAGAGGGUGCAAACGUUGUUCGGAAUUACUGGGCGUAAAGCGCGUGUAGGCGGCCAACUAAGUCGGGCGUGAAAUCCCACGGCUCAACCGUGGAAGUGCACUCGAAACUGGAUGGCUAGAGUCCUGGAGAGGAAGGUGGAAUGCUUGGUGUAGAGGUGAAAUUCGUAGAUAUCAAGCGGAACACCGGUGGCGAAGGCGGCCUUCUGGACAGUGACUGACGCUGAGA